GAUGAACGCUGGCGGCGUGCCUAAUACAUGCAAGUCGAACGAGGUGCUUUUGUAGCAAUACGAGAGUAUCCUAGUGGCGAACGGGUGAGUAACGCGUUGGUGACCUGCCCCGAAGUGUGGGAUAACAGUUCGAAAGGAUUGCUAAUACCACAUGUGGUCAUUGGAUUUAGAAACCGAUGACUAAAGCAGCAAUGCGCUUUGGGAGGGACCUGCGUCCCAUCAGCUAGUUGGGGAGGUAACGGCCCACCAAGGCUACAACGGGUAGGGGGCCUGAGAGGGUGGCCCCCCACAAUGGAACUGAAACACGGUCCAUACACCUACGGGUGGCAGCAGUAGGGAAUAUUGCACAAUGGGCGAAAGCCUGAUGCAGCAACGCCGCGUGAGCGAUGAAGGCCUUCGGGUCGUAAAGCUCUUUUCUGGGAGAUGAGAAAGGACAGUAUCCCAGGAAUAAGUCUCGGCUAACUACGUGCCAGCAGCCGCAGUAAGAC
rnacentral:rRNA from 1 species